AAGUCAAGCGAACUCUCACAGGAUGCAAAGCUUGCAACUACUCUAAUUGAUUUUUUCAACGAAGGCCAGUUGACUUUUAUUAUUACAAAAAGUGAGAGAUAUGCACAGCAGAAACGCGUAAUGUAAAAUUACUUACAUUUUACUCUAGAUGAACUGCCUCUAGUCUUAGCAAUGUUUUAUCAAGAUUUAUUAGAUUGUUUAGAUUUUAUAGAUUGUUUUAUUAGAUUUGGCUGCAAGAAUUGGGCUCUGUGUUUAAGUAGCGGAUAUAUUUGUUUGUUAACAUUUUGAGCUUUAUAUCGGAAAAAAUCAAUAAAAAGAAAAGAAAUUGGAAGGCUUGGGAAGAGAUGACCGAAAGUGCGAAUAAAUUGCUGCAUCAGAAUGAUAUUGACGAGAAUUUGAGGCCCAUGACUUGUGUGAGUCCCUGUUUUAAAUGAUCAGACGUUUAUCGACCAGAGGAGUUAUUGCAAUUUAUGAUAUUGUCUUAUACAGGGUGUAAACAAACGCAAAUUUCACGUUGCUACCACACUGAGUAGUCAUCAUUUCUGAAACACCUUGUAUUAGUUUGUGUUCUAAUGUUUAAUAUAAUUAGUUUUGCAUAAAA